rnacentral:rRNA from 1 species
UUGAACGCUGGCGGCAUGCCUUACACAUGCAAGUCGAACGGCAGCACGGGGGCAACCCUGGUGGCGAGUGGCGAACGGGUGAGUAAUGCAUCGGAACGUGCCCUGAAGUGGGGGAUAACGUAGCGAAAGUUACGCUAAUACCGCAUAUUCUGUGAGCAGGAAAGCAGGGGAUCGCAAGACCUUGCGCUUUAGGAGCGGCCGAUGUCGGAUUAGCUAGUUGGCGAGGUAAAGGCUCACCAAGGCAACGAUCCGUAGCGGGUCUGAGAGGAUGAUCCGCCACACUGGGACUGAGACACGGCCCAGACUCCUACGGGAGGCAGCAGUGGGGAAUUUUGGACAAUGGGCGCAAGCCUGAUCCAGCCAUGCCGCGUGAGUGAAGAAGGCCUUCGGGUUGUAAAGCUCUUUCGGCAGGAACGAAACGGCGGGCUCUAACAUAGCCCGUCACUGACGGUACCUGAAUAAGAAGCACCGGCUAACUACGU